rnacentral:rRNA from 1 species
GUUGAGUAGCAAUACUUGACCUAGAGUGGCGUAAGGGUGCGUAACACGUAUGCAAUCUGCCCACAGCCGGGGUAUAGCCCUCCGAAAGGAGGAUUAACACCCCAUAGGAAGAUGGAAUGGCAUCAUUUUAUUUUUAAACCACGGGGCUGUGGAUGAGCAUGCGCUUGAUUAGCUAGUUGGCGGGGUAAUGGCCCACCAAGGCGAUGAUCAAUAGGGGACCUGAGAGGGUGAUCCCCCACACUGGCACUGAGAUACGGGCCAGACUCCUACGGGAGGCAGCAGUAGGGAAUAUUGGACAAUGGGUGAGAGCCUGAUCCAGCCAUGCCGCGUGCAGGAAGAAGGCCUUCUGGGUUGUAAACUGCUUUUGCCGGGGGAUAAAAGAUCCCUGCGGGGAGAAUUGAAGGUACCCGGUGAAUAAGCCACGGCUAACUACGUGCCA